CCUACGGGGGGCAGCAGUGGGGAAUAUUGGACAAUGGGGGGAACCCUGAUCCAGCCAUGCCGCGUGUGUGAAGAAGGCCCUCGGGUUGUAAAGCACUUUCAGUGAGGAAGAACGCCUGGUGGUUAAUACCCAUCAGGAAAGACAUCACUCACAGAAGAAGCACCGGCUAACUCCGUGCCAGCAGCCGCGGUAAUACGGAGGGUGCGAGCGUUAAUCGGAAUUACUGGGCGUAAAGCGCGCGUAGGUGGCUUGAUAAGCCGGUUGUGAAAGCCCCGGGCUCAACCUGGGAACGGCAUCCGGAACUGUCAAGCUAGAGUGCAGGAGAGGAAGGUAGAAUUCCCGGUGUAGCGGUGAAAUGCGUAGAGAUCGGGAGGAAUACCAGUGGCGAAGGCGGCCUUCUGGACUGACACUGACACUGAGGUGCGAAAGCGUGGGUAGCAAACAGGAUUAGAUACCCUGGUAGUC
rnacentral:rRNA from 1 species